CAAGGAACGGGUCAGCCCAGAAAACAGGAGCCUGGCUCGGGAGAAGGUUUUAAAGAUGUUCGUGGGUUGCGGUGCGGGGCUCGCUGGUGGCUGCUGCUGGCCCUGAGUGACUUUGGGAACCCUGAACCACGGCGGGCUCCACCCUGGGAUUCGUGCUAACAGAGAGCUGCACUGCAGGGACUGCUCCAUGUUUUCCAUGUGAGGCCAGAGCACAAUGAACUACAGGGAGUCUCAUGGUGAGAGACAGAUCUUGCACCAGCACAGAGUUACAGCCAUUUCUAUGGAAAUUGAAGGUUUGAAGCCUGGGAGAAAGCAGCAACAAAUUUCCCAUCAGACAAGAAGAUGGCUCAAAGAUAAGAGCCCAGAGCAAAGCUUCAGGUGAUCUUCCCUUUGGAUCCCUCUCUGUGUGCAGAGGACACAGGACCAGGGGGAAUUCAACUAAGCAUUAUCAGAGCCAAUAUCAACAGCACAGAACGAUCUAUCUGCACACAGCCACAAGAACCAGCACCUGUUAACAACCUGAACCAUUCCAUCAUUCUUGUGUGCUGUUGGUGUGAUUGUUUCCAAGAACAGAGUGGAGAGGGAUGUGCUAAAGCUCUGGAGUUUGGGUAAUUAUUGUACGUCAGCAGCAGCUCCGUGUGAGCCAGGACAGCCGCCCACUCCCACACUUGGAGCUGUGUAAGACUAAACGGGCACAAAUGUGUUGAUAUAUUGUAGCCAGUGAUUGUAUAUGUGUCUGCUUCACAGGAAAUCGCUAUUUUUACAGUGGAAUGUUAUAAUCAUUGAAAGAAUUUUUUAAAAAAUCAAAAAAAGACCCCAAAGAAACCUUGUAGAAUUAAAAAUACACAGCUUGGAAAAGACUUAAGGUAAAACAACUGGUUGUUUGGGAAGGUCAGCCACCCUCUCAAGAA